GACGAACGCUGGCGGCGUGCCUAAUACAUGCAAGUUGAGCGAUGAAGAUUGGUGCUUGCACCAAUUUGAAGAGCAGCGAACGGGUGAGUAACGCGUGGGGAAUCUGCCUUUGAGCGGGGGACAACAUUUGGAAACGAAUGCUAAUACCGCAUAACAACUUUAAACAUAAGUUUUAAGUUUGAAAGAUGCAAUUGCAUCACUCAAAGAUGAUCCCGCGUUGUAUUAGCUAGUUGGUGAGGUAAAGGCUCACCAAGGCGAUGAUACAUAGCCGACCUGAGAGGGUGAUCGGCCACAUUGGGACUGAGACACGGCCCAAACUCCUACGGGAGGCAGCAGUAGGGAAUCUUCGGCAAGGGACGAAAGUCUGACCGAGCAACGCCGCGUGAGUGAAGAAGGUUUUCGGAUCGUAAAACUCUGUUGGUAGAGAAGAACGUUGGUGAGAGUGGAAAGCUCAUCAAGGGACGGUAACUACCCAGAAAGGGACGGCUAACUACGUG
rnacentral:rRNA from 1 species